UAACUUACCAUGGAGCUGCUUGUUCCGCUCUAGCAGCACGUAAAUAUUGGCGUAGUGAAGUAAAUCUUAAACCCCAAUAUUAUUGUGCUGCUUUAGUGUGGCAGGCCUACAACAGCAAGUGCCCU
rnacentral:precursor_RNA from 12 species